AAGCAAGCUUCGUUCAGAUCAUCACAGAACUGCUGUGUGAAGAUCUGAAUUGUGUACAGCUGAGAGUGAUGAGAGGCAGGAAGGGCUGCUUGCAUAGGGAGGUCAUGGAGGGACUUCCUGACAUUUGAGCUGAGACUUGAGAAGGAGCCAGCCACACAAUAAUAUAGAGUGAGAGCAUUCCUGGCAGAGGAAACAGCUCAGGCAAAGGCUCUAAGGGGGAACAAGGCUAGUGUGUCCCAGGCUUAGGGUGCCGGCCAGAUGAGUACAGAGUAGACAAUGUGGGGAGCUUGGUGGGAGGCAGACGCAGAAAGGCAGAGGCAGGCAGUGGUCAGAUCAGGGAAGGGUUAAUACGCAAAUGUGUGGAUUUUGUCCUAAGUGGAAACUCUGAAAAAUUUCAAGCAAGGGAGUCACACAAUGGCACCUUGGAAUGGGGUGGUGGAUGUGGCCAUUGGAGAAGGUGGACAAGCUCAGAAUGCAUUCUGGCCGUAGAGCCAACCCAACAGGCUGAAGGAUUGGAUGUGGGAGGGAGUGAAAAGAAAGGAAUAAAAAUUGCAGGUGACUUCUACGGUUUUCACUUGAGCAAUUGGGAGGGCAGUAAAGGUGGGUCCCUUUACGGAAAUGGAAAGACUAAGAGAGCAGCAGUUUUGGGGUGGAAUUGGGGAGAGGAAACAGGGACUCUGUUGGGCGUACAGAUGCUCAAAUAAAGAUGACAAGCCCCCUAUUGGCUGUAUGAGUCAGGCGCUGGGGGAGGGACUGGAGCUGUAGGUGCACAAUGCAUGCCGAUGUAUCUGUGUGUCAUACAAGGCCCCAUGUAUGACUGCGUGUGUAUACACAUGCACAGAUGCACACAUUGUUAUGUCAUCCCAGACCAUGUUUUUGUAUUUUUGUACCUGUAUCUUGGUAUAUAUCUG
rnacentral:lncRNA from 1 species